rnacentral:rRNA from 1 species
UCCGUAGCUGGAUCUACAAGUCCCUUGAGAAAUCCGCCGGCUUAACUGGCGGGCGUUCAGGGGAAACUGUAAUUCUAGGGACCGGGAGAGGUGAGAGGUACUGCCGGGGUAGGAGUGAAAUCCUGUAAUCCCGGUGGGACCACCAAUGGCGAAGGCAUCUCACCAGAACGGGUCCGACAGUGAGGGACGAAAGCUGGGGGAGCAAACCG